rnacentral:rRNA from 1 species
AUUGAACGCUGGCGGCAGGCUUAACACAUGCAAGUCGAGCGGAGAUGAGGUGCUUGCACCUUAUCUUAGCGGCGGACGGGUGAGUAAUGCUUAGGAAUCUGCCUAUUAGUGGGGGACAACAUUCCGAAAGGAAUGCUAAUACCGCAUACGUCCUAAGGGAGAAAGCAGGGGAUCUUCGGACCUUGCGCUAAUAGAUGAGCAUAAGUCGGAUUAGCUAGUUGGUGGGGUAAAGGCCUACCAAGGCGACGAUCUGUAGCGGGUCUGAGAGGAUGAUCCGCCACACUGGGACUGAGACACGGCCCAGACUCCUACGGGAGGCAGCAGUGGGGAAUAUUGGACAAUGGGGGGAACCCUGAUCCAGCCAUGCCGCGUGUGUGAAGAAGGCCUUAUGGUUGUAAAGCACUUUAAGCGAGGAGGAGGCUACUGAGACUAAUACUCUUGGAUAGUGGACGUUACUCGCAGAAUAAGCACCGGCUAACUCUGUGCCAGCCGCCGCCGUAAUAC